UAUAUGCUAUUUAUUGUUCAUACUAUCCUUUUGUACUCUGGUGUUUGUGGGAUAUUGUGAACCUUUGCCAGAAAUGGUGAAGGGAGUUAUGCAUAGAGCCUGUGAUGCUCUACCGGCCCCUAUGACUUCACUCAGACGUGGGUGGAUGGAGCUCCUAGAUGUGGGAGACCUCCCAGACGUGGGAGACUUAUGUUUGGUGGUCAUUCAGAAAUGGAUAUACCAUAUUAUGUUAUGGUCCCACUUCACCUUCUGUAUGUUU
rnacentral:lncRNA from 1 species